rnacentral:rRNA from 1 species
UACGAAGGGGGCUAGCGUUGUUCGGAAUCACUGGGCGUAAAGGGCGCGUAGGCGGCGCGAGUAGUCAACGGUGAAAGCCCGGGGCUCAACCCCGGGUCGGCCGUCGAUACUCUCGUGCUUGAGCACUGUAGAGGCAGGUGGAAUUCCGGGUGUAGCGGUGGAAUGCGUAGAGAUCCGGAAGAACACCGGUGGCGAAGGCGGCCCCCCUGGACCGGUACUGACGCUGAGGCGCGAAAAGCGGUGGGUAGCAAACGGGG